rnacentral:rRNA from 1 species
CCCUUAGAUGUUCUGGGCCGCACGCGCGCUACACUGACGGAUUCAACGAGCUUACAACCUUGGCCGAAAGGUCUGGGUAAUCUCCAAAAUCCGUCGUGAUGGGGAUAGAUUAUUGCAAUUAUUAAUCUUCAACGAGGAAUGCCUAGUAAGCGCAAGUCAUCAGCUUGCGUUGAUUACGUCCCUGCCCUUUGUACACACCGCCCGUCGCUCCUACCGAUUGAAUGGUCCGGUGAAGCGUUUGGACUAUGGUUUUCUGAUGGUCCGCCGUUGGCUUACCGUGGGAAGUUCGUUAAACCUUAUCAUUUAGAGGAAGGAGAAGUCGUAACA